rnacentral:rRNA from 1 species
AUUGAACGCUGGCGGCAGGCCUAACACAUGCAAGUCGAGCGGAAACGAGUUAUCAAAGCCUUCGGGUGGAGAUAACGGCGUCGAGCGGCGGACGGGUGAGUAAUGCCUGGGAAAUUGCCCUGAUGUGGGGGAUAACCAUUGGAAACGAUGGCUAAUACCGCAUAAUAGCCCGGUUCUUCGGAAUUGGGCUCAAAGAGGGGGACCUUUUAGGCCUCUCGCGUCAGGAUAUGCCCAGGUGGGAUUAGCUAGUUGGUGAGGUAAUGGCUCACCAAGGCGACGAUCCCUAGCUGGUCUGAGAGGAUGAUCAGCCACACUGGAACUGAGACACGGUCCAGACUCCUACGGGAGGCAGCAGUGGGGAAUAUUGCACAAUGGGCGCAAGCCUGAUGCAGCCAUGCCGCGUGUAUGAAGAAGGCCUUCGGGUUGUAAAGUACUUUCAGCAGUGAGGAAGGUGGUGUCGUUAAUAGG